GACGAACGCUGGCGGCGUGCUUAACACAUGCGAGUCGAACGGAAAGGCCCUGCUUUUGUGGGGUGCUCGAGUGGCGAACGGGUGAGUAACACGUGAGUAACCUGCCCUUGACUUUGGGAUAACUUCAGGAAACUGGGACUAAUACCGGAUAGGAGCUCCUGCUGCAUGGUGGGGGUUGGAAAGUUUCGGCGGUUGGGGAUGGACUCGCGGCUUAUCAGCUUGUUGGUGGGGUAGUGGCUUACCAAGGCUUUGACGGGUAGCCGGCCUGAGAGGGUGACCGGCCACAUUGGGACUGAGAUACGGCCCAGACUCCUACGGGAGGCAGCAGUGGGGAAUAUUGCACAAUGGGCGGAAGCCUGAUGCAGCAACGCCGCGUGCGGGAUGACGGCCUUCGGGUUGUAAACCGCUUUCGCCUGUGACGAAGCGUGAGUGACGGUAAUGGGUAAAGAAGCACCGGCUAACUACGUG
rnacentral:rRNA from 1 species